GAUGAACGCUGGCGGCGUGCCUAAUACAUGCAAGUCGAGCGAACAGACGAGGCGCUUGCUCCUCUGACGUUAGCGGCGGACGGGUGAGUAACACGUGGAUACCCUACCUAUAAGACUGGGAUAACUUCGGGACACCGGCGCUAAUACCGGAUAAUAUCUUGAUCCGCAUGGUUCAAUAGUGAAAGACGGUUUUGCUGUCACUUAUCGAUGGAUCCGAGCCGCAUUAGCUAGUUGGUAAGGUACCGGCUUCCCAAGGCAACGAUGCGUAGCCGACCUGAGAGAGUGAUAGGCCACACGGGAGCGGAGCCGCGGUCCAGACUCCUACGGGACGCAGCAGUAGGGAAUCUUCCGCAAUGGGCGAAAGCUUGACGGAGCAACGCCGCGUGAGUGAUGAAGGUCUUCGGAUCGUAAAACCCUGUUAUUAGGUGAGAACAAAUGUGUAAGUAACUAUGCACGUCUUGACGGUACCUAGUCAGAAAGCCACGGCUAACUACGUG
rnacentral:rRNA from 1 species